UCCUUUGACGUUAGCGGCGGACGGGUGAGUAACACGUGGGUAACCUACCUAUAAGACUGGGAUAACUUCGGGAAACCGGAGCUAAUACCGGAUAAUAUUUCGAACCGCAUGGUUCGAUAGUGAAAGAUGGUUUUGCUAUCACUUAUAGAUGGACCCGCGCCGUAUUAGCUAGUUGGUAAGGUAACGGCUUACCAAGGCGACGAUACGUAGCCGACCUGAGAGGGUGAUCGGCCACACUGGAACUGAGACACGGUCCAGACUCCUACGGGAGGCAGCAGUAGGGAAUCUUCCGCAAUGGGCGAAAGCCUGACGGAGCAACGCCGCGUGAGUGAUGAAGGUCUUCGGAUCGUAAAACUCUGUUAUUAGGGAAGAACAUACGUGUAAGUAACUAUGCACGUCUUGACGGUACCUAAUCAGAAAGCCACGGCUAACUACGUGCCAGCAGCCGCGGUAAUACGUAGGUGGCAAGCGUUAUCCGGAAUUAUUGGGCGUAAAGCGCGCGUAGGCGGUUUUUUAAGUCUGAUGUGAAAGCCCACGGCUCAACCGUGGAGGGUCAUUGGAAACUGGAAAACUUGAGUGCAGAAGAGGAAAGUGGAAUUCCAUGUGUAGCGGUGAAAUGCGCAGAGAUAUGGAGGAACACCAGUGGCGAAGGCGACUUUCUGGUCUGUAACUGACGCUGAUGUGCGAAAGCGUGGGGAUCAAACAGGAUUAGAUACCCUGGUAGUCCACGCCGUAAACGAUGAGUGCUAAGUGUUAGGGGGUUUCCGCCCCUUAGUGCUGCAGCUAACGCAUUAAGCACUCCGCCUGGGGAGUACGACCG
rnacentral:rRNA from 1 species